UCUUUUUCUGGCAUCAAUGCAGCAGAUCAAAGAGAAAGUCGGGACAUUUCAAUAAGGAAUCCCAGGACUGGGGGCUGAACUGUCAAAAUCGGGACUGUCCCGCAGAAAACCGGACAGUUGGGAGUACCCACAUCUACACUGGGAAUGGUGACAAGAUGCAACACCUGCUUGUGAAUGAGGCCCAGGACUUUCACAUAUUGCUACUUGGAGAAGGACAUGUGCAAAAAUUGUGUAAUUCUGUGCAGAAUAGCUUCCAAAAUUUUGCAUAUCAAGAAGACAAAGGCAUCACUUCUAAAAAGCUGAAGCACACACUACAUACUUACUGAUACUAGAGUGACGAAGAUGCACUACUUGGUGAACGGGACAUUCUUCAGUCAUCACAUGGAAUGGCACCAUUGUGAACAUAUUCAUCACUGGAAAUACUUGAAGCCCCUGCACUUUAAUACUGUGUUAUAAGAAUGUGCUGUGUUGUCCUGUCUGUGUAGGAUAACUUUGCCCUUCAUCUAAAGAUGGAAUUGGAAAAAUAAAUUUGGAUAUGGAAUGUGUUAAAAGAAUUACCAGCUACUAUCCUACUAUCUUCGCAUGAAGAAUGGAACAGAGAAACAGCCAAAGGAAACCAACCCUAGAAACCUGGGCUCCCAGUGUACUUGUGUUUUUUUUUUUGCUUUCUAAUACUAAAACUGUACUUUUUAGGGUAAUGGUAGACAAGUCCCUCACGACAAAUCUCUUUUGUGGGUGACUAGUUCCCCCUGAAUUCUUCCCCAGCAGCAAUGUGAGUUGCCUGUAGGAAAACACUUUUUCUGAAGUCGCCCAAAAUUGCCUCUCAAGGAUGAUACAAUAUAAAUGGUGCAACAAUCUAGCGGAAAAAAAAGAAAACUGCAUAUCUAGAAAAAAUGUGAGUUUAUCUAGGGGAAAAAAAAUAAAAAAUCUCAAGGCAAGAACUCAUCUAGAAAAAAAGAAAGAGAGAAAUAUGUUCAUUCAUCCAGGUCAUGGUAUAUGUGUAGAAAUAAGUCAAAUCUUUCUUGAAGACUUUAUCAGUCAUCCAACUGGAUUUCUCAAUUCAGAAUAACGUGUAAAUACUAUAUUUCAGGAAUAAAUACUCUGGAAUGUUGCUCCAAUCAGCAUAAUCUGUUUAUCAUAAUCAGCAAGGAUGACCUGAAGUUAGGUGUUGAUUGUAUUACCAUGAUUGGAGCUUUGAGGUGUUAUUAAACCUUCCAGGGAGAAGUGCCAAAACAGCACUGUAUGUGGCAGACAACAUGUGUUGCAAAACCCACCUCUAUUCAAACAUAUAUAUCUUCUUUAACACCUCUUUUGAACCAGUCAUUCUCCCAGGCUAGAAUCUGGACUUGGCAGUCUUCAAACGUCAUCCACAUAUCGGAACCAAUGACUAGUAGUGAAACUAUCGAGGGCCUUCCUUUCCACUUCCUCCAUGUAUAGGUUUGUCACAAUGGGCAAAACUGGCGAUUCUGUUCCUGUAGAACUUAUCCUUGUACUUGAAAUAGGUAAAAUAGGU